rnacentral:rRNA from 1 species
GACGAACGCUGGCGGCGUGCUUAACACAUGCAAGUCGAACGGACAGGCCCUGCUUUUGUGGGGUGCUCGAGUGGCGAACGGGUGAGUAACACGUGAGUAUCCUGCACUUGACUUUGGGAUAACUUCAGGAAACUGGGGAUCAUACCGGAUAGGAGCUCCUGAUGCAUGUUGGGGGAUGGUAAGUUUCGGCGGUUGGGGAUCGACUCGCGGCUUAUCAGCUUGUUGGUGGGGUAGUGGCUUACCAAGGCUUUGACGGGUAGCCGGCCUGAGAGGGUGACCGGCCACAAGAGGACUGAGAGACGGCCCAGACGGCUACGGGAGGCAGCAGUGGAGAAUAUUGCACAGUGGGCGGAAGCCUGAUGCAGCAACGCCGCGUUCGGGAUGACGGCCUUCUAGUUGUAAACCGCUGUCGCCGGUGACGAAGCGUUAGUGACGGUAAUUAGUAAAGAAGCACCGGCUAACUACGUG